rnacentral:rRNA from 1 species
GACGAACGCUGGCGGCGUGCUUAACACAUGCAAGUCGAACGGAAAGGCCCUGCUUUUGUGGGGUGCUCGAGUGGCGAACGGGUGAGUAACACGUGAGUAACCUGCUCUUGACUUUGGGAUAACUUCAGGAAACUGGGGCUAAUACCGGAUAGGAGCUCCUGCUGCAUGGUGGGGGUUGGAAAGUUUCGGCGGUUGGGGAUGGACUCGCGGCUUAUCAGCUUGUUGGUGGGGUAGGGGCUUACCCAGGCUUUGACGGGUAGCCGGCCUUAGAGGGUGACCGGCCACAUUGGGACUGAGAUACGGCCCAGACUCCUACGGGAGGCAGCAGUGGGGAAUAUUGCACAAUGGGCGGAAGCCUGAUGCAGCAACGCCGCGUGCGGGAUGACGGCCUUCGGGUUGUAAACCGCUUUCGCCUGUGACGAAGCGUGAGUGACGGUAAUGGGUAAAGAAGCACCGGCUAACUACGUG